rnacentral:rRNA from 1 species
UGGGGAAUUUUGGACAAUGGGCGAAAGCCUGAUCCAGCCAUGCCGCGUGUGUGAAGAAGGUCUUCGGAUUGUAAAGCACUUUAAGUUGGGAGGAAGGGCAGUAAGUUAAUACCUUGCUGUUUUGACGUUACCGACAGAAUAAGCACCGGCUAACUCUGUGCCAGCAGCCGCGGUAAUACAGAGGGUGCAAGCGUUAAUCGGAAUUACUGGGCGUAAAGCGCGCGUAGGUGGUUUGUUAAGUUGGAUGUGAAAGCCCCGGGCUCAACCUGGGAACUGCAUCCAAAACUGGCAAGCUAGAGUACGGUAGAGGGUGGUGGAAUUUCCUGUGUAGCGGUGAAAUGCGUAGAUAUAGGAAGGAACACCAGUGGCGAAGGCGACCACCUGGACUGAUACUGACACUGAGGUGCGAAAGCGUGGGGAGCAAACAGGAUUAGAUACCCGCGUAGUCCCUG